AUACGGAGGGGGCAAGCGUUGUUCGGAAUUACUGGGCGUAAAGCGCGCGUAGGCGGGCUGGUUAGUUGGGGGUGAAAUCCCAGGGCUUAACCCUGGAACUGCCUCCAAUACUGCCAGUCUAGAGUUCGAGAGAGGUGAGUGGAAUUCCUAGUGUAGAGGUGAAAUUCGUAGAUAUUAGGAAGAACACCAGUGGCGAAGGCGGCUCACUGGCUCGAUACUGACGCUGAGGCGCGAAAGCGUGGGGAGCAAACGGGAUUAGAAACCCCAGUAGUCC
rnacentral:rRNA from 1 species